AGCGCCCCGACGUAGGCGCGCAGCGAGAGGCCGAGGUGCCGCAGGUCCAGCACCGGGUAGGCCAGCAGCUGGCCCGGGCCGUGGAAGGUGGCUGGCUGAAACCCGGAUUAAGGAAACAAACUGGAAGUGAGCCCCAGGGCUGCUGAGCCCUGCCUCUGACCAUCAGGAGCAACCCUGUCAUACAACUGCACUCAUAAAUUUGUCCAGCUCUCUCUUUACACUAAUGAAGUUCGCCUCUACAACUACUGGGAGCGAGCUGCCCUGGAGAUUCUUAUACAGUGUGCACAGCCCCUCUUCUGUGCUCCGUUGCACAUUGGAACAGUACAAAGAAUGGCCAUCAAAUCCUAAGAGCAACCUCAACAGGCAAAACCUGUGGGUGCAUGGCAUGUGUCAAGUUAUCACAGACUGCUGUUGGCCCAGUGCAGGGCCUGUGACUUGUGCAGUUGUAUGCCCUGUAAAAUGUAGGUUUCAUUUCAGGCAGAAGUAAGGAAUGGAUCUUACCAGCCUGAGUGGGGAAAUUCCCCACGUGACAUUUAGUAUAGAUUAGUUAAUAUGUUUUUUUAGAAAGCAGCAAAAUAUAUUGUUUGAGUUUUUUCUUAAACAAAACUGCAAGGAGCUCAUCUCACUGCAACAACUCUACAGCGACACUCCAGUGUUCCCCUUACCCAGCAUUCACAAGCAUGCUCCAGGAACAUACCAAUCUGUGAUGAGUAACCCUACCAUAACAAACCAGAGCAAAACUCCACAGCACUACUGAGCAGCCUUUUAAUAAACCCAUUUGUGCAAAAUGGAGCUAAUGAAUUUUAGUAACAAAACCAAGUCUAGAAUUAUAUUGUAGUUAAACUUACAAAUGAUUAUUGUAAAUCACAGAAUCAUAGAAGAUUAGGGUUAGAAGAGACAAGAGGUCAUCUAGUUCAACCCCCUGCUCAAAGCAGGACCAAUCCCCAACUAAAUCAUCCCAGCCAGGGCUUUGUCAAGCCGGGCCUCAAAAGCCUAGAGAGGGUGGAGAUUCCACCACCUCCCUAGGUAACCCAUUCCAGUGCUUCACCACCCUCCUAGUGAAACAGUGUUUCCUAAUAUCCAACCUAGACCUCCUCCACUGCAACUAGAGACCAUUGCUCUUUGUUCUGUCAUCUGCCACCACUGAGAACAACCGAGCUCCAUCCUCUUUGGAACCCCCCUUCAGGUAGUUGAAGGUUACUAUCAAAUCCACCCCGCCCUUCUCUUGUGUAGACCAAACAAGCCCAGUUCCCUCCUCGUAAGUCAUGUGCCCCAGCCCCCUGAUCAUUUUUCUUGCCUUCCACUGGACUGUCUCCAAUUUGUCCACAUCCUUUCUGUAGUGGGGGACACUGUUCCCGCUAAGCUGUACGCAUGUGCACGCGCACACAGAUCCUAAACCCCGUGCACACGAUGAAACACCGUGCGCACAAAAAUGUACACAGAAGCACAACAAUCUGCACAGAAGAAAUUUUUUGUGCACAUGGCCUGUCAAAAAUUUGCACAGAAGAAAUUUUUUGCACACAUGGCCUGUCAAAAAUUAGAGGGAACAUUGGUGGGGGGCCCAAAACUGGAUGCAAUACUCCAGAUGUGGCCUCACCGGUGCUAAAUAGAGGGGAAUAAUCACUUCCCUUGAUCUGCUGGCAAUGCUCCUGCUAAUUCAGCACAAUAUGCCGUUGGCCUUCUUGGCAACAAGGGCACACUGCUGACUCACAUCCAGUUUUUCAUCCACUGUAAUCCCCAGGCCUUUUCCUGCAUUGCUGCUUAGCCAGUCGGUCCCCAGCCUGUAGCAGUGCAUGAGAUUCUUCCAUCCUAAGUGCAAGACUCUGCACUUGUCCUUGUUGAACCUCAUCAGAUUUCUUUUGGCCCAAUCCUCCAAUUUGUCUAGGUUACUCUGGACCCUAUCCCUACCCUCCAGCAUAUCUACCUCUCCCCCCAGCUUAGUAUCAUCUUGAACUUGCUGAGGGUGCAAUCCAUCCCAUCAUCCAGAUCGUUAAUAAAGAUGUUGAACAAAACUGACCUCAGGACCAACCCCUGGGGUACGCUGUUUGAUACUGGUUGCCAACUAAACAUCGAACCAUUGAUCACUACCUGUUGAGCCCGACAAUUUAGCCAGUUUUCUAUCCACCUUAUAAUCCAUUCAUCCAAUCCAUACUUUUUUAAUUUGCUGGCAAAAAUACUGUGGGAGACCGUAUCAAAAGUUUUGCUAACAUCAAGAUAUAUCACGUCCACUGCUUUCCCCAUAUCCACAGAGCCAGUUAUCUCAUCAUAGAAGGCAAUCAGGUUGGUCAGGCAUGACUUGCCCUUGGUGAAUCCAUGUUGACUGUUCCUGAUCACCUUCCUCUCCUCCAAGUGCUUCAAAAUGAAUCAUAGAAUCAUAGAAUAUCAGUGUUGGAAGGGACCUCAGGAGGUCAUCUAGUCCAACCCCCUGCUCAAAGCAGGACCAAUCCCCAAUUAAAUAUCCCAGCCAGGGCUUUGUCAAGCCUGACCUUAAAAACUGCUAAGGAAGGAGAUUCUACCACCUCCCUAGGUAAUGCAUUCCAGUGUUUCACCACCCUCCUAGUGAAAAAGUUUUUCCUAAUAUCCAACCUAAACCUCCCCCACUGCAACUUGAGACCAUUACUCCUUGUUCUGUCAUCUUCUACCACUGAGAAUAGUCUAGAACCAUCCUCUUUGGAACCACCUCUCAAGUAGUUGAAAGCAGCUAUCAAAUCCCCCCUCAUUCUUCUCUUCUGCAGACUAAACAAUCCCAGUUCCCUCAGCCUCUCCUCAUAAGUCAUGUGUUCCAGACCCCUAAUCAUUUUUGUUGCCCUUCGCUGGACUCUCUCCAAUUUUUCCACAUCCUUCUUGUAGUGUGGGGCCCAAAACUGGACAUAGUACUCCAGAUGAGGCCUCACCAAUGUUGAAUAGAGGGGAACGAUCACGUCCUUCGAUCUGCUGGCAAUGCCCCUACUUAUACAUCCCAAAAUGCCAUUGGCCUUCUUGGCAACAAGGGCACACUGCUGACUCAUAUCCAGCUUCUCGUCCACUGUCACCCCUAGGUCCUUUUCCGCAGAACUGCUGCCUAGCCAUUCGGUCCCUAGUCUGUAACGGUGCAUUGGAUUCUUCCGUCCUAAGUGCAGGACCCUGCACUUAUCCUUGUUGAACCUCAUCAGAUUUCUUUUGGCCCUAUUCUCCAAUUUGUCUAGGUCCCUCUGUAUCCUACCUCUACCUGACACCGUAUCUACCACUCCUCCUAGUUUAGUAUCAUCCGCAAAUUUGCUGAAAGUGCAAUCCACACCAUCCUCCAGAUCAUUUAUGAAGAUAUUGAACAAAACUGGCCCCAGGACCGACCCUUGGGGCACUCCACUUGAUUCCAGCUGCCAACUAGACAUGGAGCCAUUGAUCACUACCCAUUGAGCUCGACAAUCUAGCCAACUUUCUACCCACCUUAUAGUGCAUUCAUCCAGCCCAUACUUCUUUAACUUGCUGACAAGAAUACUGUGGGAGACGGUGUCAAAAGCUUUGCUAAAGUCAAGAAACAAUACAUCCACUGCUUUCCCUUCAUCCACAGAACCAGUAAUCUCAUCAUAGAAGGUGAUUAGAUUAGUCAGGCAUGACCUUUCCUUGGUGAAUCCAUGCUGACUGUUCCUGAUCACUUUCCUCUCGUGUAAGUGCUUCAGGAUUGAUUCCUUGAGGACCUGCUCCAUGAUUUUUCCGGGGACUGAGGUGAGGCUGACUGGCCUGUAGUUCCCGGGAUCCUCCUUCUUCCCUUUUUUAAAGAUGGCACUACAUUAGCCUUUUUCCAGUCGUCCGGGACUUCCCCCGAUCGCCAUGAGUUUUCAAAGAUAAUGGCCAAUGGCUGUGCAAUGACAGCCACCAACUCCUUUAGCACUCUCGGAUGCAACGCAUCCGGCCCCGUGGACUUGUGCACGUCCAGCUUUUCUAAAUAGUCCCAAACCACUUCUUUCUCCACAGAGGGCUGGUCACCUACUCCCCAUGCUGUGUUGCCCAGUGCAGCAGUCUGGGAGCUGACCUUGUUCGUGAAGACAGAGGCAAAAAAGCCAUUGAGUACAUUAGCUUUUUCCACAUCCUCUGUCACUAGGUUGCCUCCCUCAUUCAGUAAGGGGCCCACACUUUCCUUGGCUUUCUUCUUGUUGCCAACAUACCUGAAGGAACCCUUUUUGUUACCCUUAACAUCUCUGGCUAGCUGCAGCUCCAGGUGCGAUUUGGCCCUCCUGAUAACAUUCCUACAUGCCCGAGCAAUAUUUUUAUACUCUUCCCUGGUCAUUUGUCCAACCUUCCACUUCUUGUAAGCUUCUUUUUUAUGUUUAAGAUCCGCAAGGAUUUCACUGUUAAGCCAAGCUGGUCGCCUGCCAUAUUUACUAUUCUUUCGACUCAUCGGGAUGGUUUGUCCCUGUAACCUCAAUAGGGAUUCUUUGAAAUACAGCCAGCUCUCCUGGACUCCUUUCCCCCUCAUGUUAUUCCCCCAGGGGAUCCUACCCAUCCGUUCCCUGAGGGAGUCGAAGUCUGCUUUCCUGAAGUCCAGGGUCCGUAUUCUGCUGCUCUCCUUUCUUCCCUGUGUCAGGAUCCUGAACUCGACCAACUCAUGGUCACUGCCUCCCAGAUUCCCAUCCACUUUUGCUUCCCCUACUAAUUCUUCAAGGAAAAAUGCUUUCCUUGAGGACCUGCUCCAUGAUUUUUCCAGGGACGGAGGCGAGGCCGACUGGCCUGUAGUUCCCCGGAUCCUCCUCCUUCCCUUUUUUAAAGAUGGGCACGACAUUUGCCUUUCCCCAGUAAGAGCAAAUAAGAAUUUUAGUUGUAGUUUGUUUAAAAAUCAGGACUAAGAUCCUGUGUGGGUUGAAAUCAACCAUGUCGGGCCUCUAGAGAAUAAUAAAAUGAUCCGAUCUUAGCUUUUCAGCACUCUUCUAUAAAAUAUUCAAAUUUCCCCUAACUGCUAAAUGAAUCAACCAUUAAAAACAAAAUAAACUGUACCCAGGGAGCUCUUGUGAAGAUGUUGUUUCAAGUUAUCAAUUAGAUUAAUCAUAUAAAAGUUACAAUUCAUGCACUUAGUGUUCACAGACUAAUCAACUGGGUUAGUAAACGCUUACUUUAUCACAGAUCUUAUUUCCUGGAUAUCUACUCUUUGUAAUUCUAAACAAAUGAGCUCUCACCGCAGCCAACAGCCUUCUUGCAAGUACUACCAUGUGGUUACUGUUGUACUGGAGAAAUUGCAAGAAAGGCAGAAGUGAAUGAUAAGAGGCACUUUCUUCUGUUUACCUACUCCUUUGUUGAAAAGGAGUAAAGGUAACAAAGGUCUAUAAGAUGAAUGUAGCCUGGGAAAAAGCACCAUCGAAUAAACACAGUUGGACUGUGCCAGGUCACGCUCGACCACAUUUAGCCAGUUUCCUUAAACAACUGUACUGGCUGGCCUCCAUUCAGUUCAGGAUCCAGUUUAGUUCAGCACUGCUCCCUUUAUCACCAAUUCCUGAUUUCACUAAUUAACUUCAGAAGAGUUAUUCUGGAUUUACACCACUGCAACUGAGGCUAUAGUGCGACACUGUAGAUGCUAGCUACAUAAAUGGAAAAACCCCUCCUGCCAGUGUAGGUAAUCCACCUCCUCCAGAGAUGGCAGCUAGGUCAACAGAAAAAUUCUUCCAUCAACUUAGCACUGUCUACACGGUGAUUUAGGUCAGCUUAACAACGCUGCUCAAGGGUGUGGAUUUUUCACACCCCUGACCAAUGUAGUUAAACCAAAUUAAUUUUCUAGCGUAGACCAGGCCUGAGAUCAGAAUCUGGCUUGCUGAGUCUGCCCUUAGCAGAAGAGAUUUGCAUAUUGUGCCAAGAUUUUGUGUGUGUCUGUAUGUGUAUCAAGUUAUUUCCUUUUUUAUGAUUAAUCAUCAAAUUUUUGCUGGACAUCAAAGCCAAAUGCUCUUCCUUUUUGGCUUGCUGUGGUGAUGCAUGCGUAAGAUCAGGAAAAUUGUAUGUAAUAGGUCUGGGAUCCUUUGUAAAUAAGAAGCCAAGAAUUAGCUUGGUCGUGUACUUACAAUAUUUACUGUCAAUAUCCGGCUUUUGAAGCCGAGAGGAUAUGGAGAAUUUGCAUGGAACGCAACAAUAGAUGGCUCAAUGUUUCUCCAGAUAUAAGGGCAUAAUCAUUUUUGUAAAGAGUGCAUACAAUGUUGCAUUUUUCCAGAACAUGACUCACUGUUCAAGGUGACUGCACCUGUAUUUCUCCACCUCCCCUGCGGUCCAGCAAGGAUACUCACUCGCGCCUUCCCCUCUGUUGCCUGCGUCUCACUCCCAUCUGAGCAGGAUAAGGCUAUGCUGCACAGUUCUCUGCCUUCAUUGCAGGGACUGAAUAGACUUGCUUGUUUUCUCUUCAGAGACUGAUAAUAGAGAGUUGUUGCAGAUAUAAGGGAGGUAUCCACGACAUGGCUGUCACCAUGAUGAGUCCUCGGGUUUUGCUUCUGCUGAUGGCUCUGGCUCUGGCUCUGGCUCUGAGCAUCUGUCUGGGUGUCAGCACUGGAAACUGGGGCUGUGCCAAUUACCAGGGAUUACUGCCGGGCCGCGUGCUUUCCCCAGGAGAAUUCUCUGGGCCCCAAGGACUGUGCUGAAGGGUUUGUCUGCUGUGUGUCAAGUGCUUUUGGAUAAGAGUGGCUUAGCCCGAGGAGUCGAUGGUACAUGAGAUGAAGCCCCACGGGGACUUUGCUGGCAUUGGGAAGAACACAAGAUGCUAAUGUCAAUGCACAAUAAUUAUCAGCAAGAACUGGAACCUGCACAAAACCUUCACUGUUUCAUUACAAUGAAUAGGGUAUGGAUAAUUUUGGUCUUGAUCCUUCCCAUUGAAAUCAAUGGGAAAAUCCCUAUUGACUUAAAUGGGAAAAUCCCUAUUGACUUCAAUGGGAGAAGGAUGGGGCUGUUUCUCUGCCUUCUGUAAUUACAUUUAUCCAGUGCAGCAGCAUAAGUACCAGAUUUGGCUUUAUGAUUUUGGGAACCUUCAGUCAGAUUUUAACCUGCAGGGGGCACACCCAUCUCUGCUCUCUCUUCUCAUUCCCUACCCGCAAUCUAUCCGUCCUCCCUUUUCUCUGCCAAAUGGACACAUAGGAUAUAGAGUACCGAUCAAUGUGCUCAAAGAUGAAACAGACUCAAAGUCCCCAAGUUCGUUGUGGGACUGUCCUGCCAACUGGGUGGGUCUGGCACACUGGGAUGGCCCGCAAGUUUCACAUAUUCCUAAAACCAACCCAGAUGUUCUGUGACAGGCCAUGUUUCUUUUGUUUAGGGAUCGAGCCACUACAAUGCUUGACUGAUAUUUCAGUGAUCGCUACAGACCCUGCAACAGAGAGGCUCGUUUCUGAAAAAUGAGGUUCACGGUUGUGCUUUAGAUUUCUAACAAAUCUCGUCAGGGUGGGCUGAGGGCUCAUAUACGGUGGUGAUGGGUGCCCCUGUAAGAACACAGAUAGCUAGAUUAGAUAGAGAAAGGUUUCUGCAAGGGAUUAACUAAAAAAUCAGCAAAUAUCUGAUUUCAGGACAUAAUGCAAGAAAAUGUUAUUCUGCCUUUGACGAUGCACCACAUACAAAUUGUUAUUAUGUGAGUUCAAUACCAUAGACCCACAAUGACUGGCAGACUAUAUGGGAUACAAUCUUUCACCAGUUCAAAUCCAACCCCGGGUCAAUAUAACCAUAUAAGGACUCUCCAGUACCUGAUGUGAAAUGCAUUGGUGGAUCUCAGUACAGAUCUUAUUGGAAAGGUAUCUGGAUCACAAAUGCCUCCCAAACUGGCACAAACUUAUUCCCUUCUCUGCAAUAUCAGCAAAAAGACCAAGGUUUGGACAAUUAGUGAGACAAGGUGGGUGAGGUAAUAUAUUUUAUUGAACCAAAUUCUGAAAGCUUGUCUCUCUCUCACCAACAAAUAAACAAUGUUACCUCACUCACCUUGUCUCCCUAAUAUCCUGGGACCAGCACGGCCACAAGUGCACAGCAUACAAGGUUUCAAGAGACAUGAAGACUGAAGUCACCCCUGGAAGUGGUCUUUCUGAACUCCCUUCUGACUCUUAGAAGUGUCUUCUCCAGCUCAGGGAUGAGGCAUAUUUGAAAAGGAAACUCACACGGAUGCUGCCGGGAUAGCAGCAGAGACCACACUGAUAGGCACUGUAUAAAAACCUGAAUAGAACAGAUUAGUUCCGUAGACUAACAGAAGUGUUCAGGGUCCAGGAACUCAUUUCUCCUACCACUGCAUACAAGUAACUCCCAGUGAAAUCAAGUCGUUAUUUGUAUCCAGUUGCAAAAGAAUUGGGCUCCAACAUUGUCAGUUUGUGGGCCCUUCACCAGUGCUACAUUUUCUUAAAGAAGAGCAGUCUAUUCGCUCAUCAUGUCCAUCUCUCUGGCUGAUGCAGGAUUGCUGUCCACAGUACUGUAUAUACUUGAGCACACAAUCAAUGAAUGACCCAACUUGUAGGUGACACCUUUUCAUUGGACUUACUGGAAGGCAAAAAAAAGUCAAGUAUGUGAUUCUUGACAACUGCUGAUUUAUUAUUUCUAGUUAAGACCAUAGCUGGAUAUUGUUGGCUACAAUAAUGGGAUGGGGAGAGGGAGUUAUUUUUUGACAGUGUAAUCAAUUGUAUUUGUUACAGAGCAGUAAAAACCUUGCUUGAGAAUGUCUCUGCAGUGUUUCUGGUGGCUGCAGGUUAAAAAUAUCUGAAAUAACAUAUCUCUUCUCUUCUCAGAUUAAUUGAAUUGCAUUGUAUUGUUCAGGACAAAUAAAGG